rnacentral:lncRNA from 1 species
AAACUCAUGCUUAUGAUAAGUUUGUGACUCAUAAUCAUAUGGUAUGUUUUUGAGCCCCUAAGCGUAUGGACAGUCCCUGAUUAGUUCUUGGACUACGUAUUGCUAGGACAAGUUCCUAAACUCAUAUUUUUAUGGCAAGUUCCCAAACACAUAAUGUGUGGUAAGUUUGAUGAACGGUCCCAGGGUAUGUGUUUAGAACUGAUUGUUUUUAAUAUAG